rnacentral:misc_RNA from 1 species
GGGCCGCGCUGAGAGAAAAAUUAGACGAUCGACAAGUGUGCCGACGCGUAUCACGUUGUAACUUGUCGUCGUUUCACGCUGUAUAUGCCAGGGCUAAGCGCAGCGCUGCCGCGCAAACUGGUAGGCAGUAGCAGUUACGACGCCGACACACACAGCGUUAAACGUCGAUCAUCUGAUCCCGCGUUACGCGCGUAGAACGCGGUAGUAUUUAUGCUAUGUGAAUUUUAACUGAGCAUCGUGUAGUCGCACAUUUUUUUUACAUUCUCGAAGGUCACAUACACCCUGUCUGUUGUAUAGUUAGUUGAAGCUACGAGCUCGAGCGUGUAAUAUCUAUAGUCAUUUAGUGAAGUGUAGAUGUGCGGUAAAUUUUGUUUUUAAUUUCACGAUUGAUUAGUAAUCAUGUUCGAACAUUAUUAUCCCGAUCGAUGGAUUUGGUGUGUAGUGCAAUUUAAACAGGAAGGGACACUGUUCGUUGUACCAAAUAAUUGGAUUUCAAGCACUGGUAAAGAGUGUUAUUGGCCUCCGUUCAAGACUGACCAGAAAGUUUUGAAAGCCUCUGAAAAAAGGGUGAAUCCUUGUUGUAUUACAUGGGAUUUGUUGGAAAUCGAAGAAAAUAUCGAUCAUGCUGAAACAUAUGAGAUCGGCAAGACGAAGUUAAAAAUAAGGCAAGACUACUCAGAUGUUGAAGAACGCUACAAUGCAAUAGUUAAUGCAAAAUUGAGACAUUCCAGACACAUAAAAAAAGGAACGACGUCUGAAGACGACAAUUCACUUUCAUCUUCAGCCCAAAAUAGUGAUGAGAUUGAGCUUCGUGAAGAUGUAGAGCCCCCCCAAAAAAAAUUCAGAAAUGAUGAAUUGGAUGGCGAUUGCUCAUUUUCGAGUUUUGAACCAACAGAUUCUGUACCGGAUAAGGGUGACGAACAAGCGAAAAAGGUCGCAUCUCUUGCAGGAGUUCCCGAUGGACACAGCGAUAAUCAUUCGAACGAUUCGGCGGCAUCUACUUCAUGGGAUGAAGAAAAUCCAGGACCAAGCAAUCAUAAACAGAAAAGUAAAACACCGAUUCGAUCGAAUUUGUUGCCAGUAUCCAAGAGGACGCUUUUGGGCGGAAAUUUGUCUUCCAACAAUGAUAUUAUUAUAAGAUCACUCGAAGAGAUACUUUUGAAUCAAGCCCAAAUUAAAAACGACUUGAUGAAUCUACAAAAUAAUGAUGCAAGUAUUCAGGACCUCAUUGAUACUGAUGAAAUGUUCACUAAUAUUCUUAAACUAAAAACGAUGGAAGAAUUCCUCCAAUUUGAAUUGAAUUUAGCUGAGGACAAACACUUUUUAUCUAAAGCUAAAAAGUACCUUAAUGGUUUUGGAGGCAAAGAUGGACACUUUACAACACGCAACAUACUGGCUGCAUUGAUGACCGAUGAUUUAGCCAUGAAAUUUAAUUUCAAAGGAAAAGUAAGGAAACAGAUUAAAAAAAUGGGUAUUGAACAAACUCGUCUUUACAAAAAAUUAGUAGAGCCUGUUGUAUUACGUAAAACGAACCAAAACUACACGAGAACUGAAAUAAAGAAAUCUACUGAGACUUGGCUGAAAGAGGCAAAGAAGAGAUACUUUCGCUCAUUACAAGAGAAAGGCCAGAAUGAAAAAAAUUAAAUAAUAUAAUAUUUGUUCUAUUUUAUGUAUUAUUUUUUUUAUAAAAAUGAAUGUGCAUUGUAACAAAAUUUAGUGCGAGUAUAGGAUACCGUUGUUCAUGAAAGGUUGAAAACCAAUACUGCUUAUUUUCCAUAACUAUCUAUUUUAUGUAUUAUUUUUUUAUAAAAAUGAAUGUGCAUUGUAACAAAAUGUAGGGCGAGUAUAGGAUACCGUUGUUUAUGAAAGUUUGAAAACCAAUACUGCUUAUUUUCCACAAGUAUCUAUUGUAUGAAUUAUUUUUUUAUAAAAAUGAAUGUGCAUUGUAACAAAAUUUAGUGCGAGUAUAGGAUACCGUUGUUCAUGAAAGGUUGAAAACCAAUACUGUCCAUUUUCCAAAACUAUCUAUUUUAUGUAUUAUUUUUUUAUAAAAAUGAAUGUGCAUUGUAACAAAAUUUAGUGCGAGUAUAGGAUACAAUUGUUCAUGAAAGGUUGAAAACCAAUACUGCUUAUUUUUCAUAACUGUCUAUUUUAUGUAUUAUUUUUUUAUAAAAAUGAAUGUGCAUUGUAAAAAAAUGUAGGGCGAGUAUAGGAUACCGUUCUUUAUGAAAGGUUGAAAACCAAUACUGCUUAUUUUCCACAAGUAUCUAUUGUAUGAAUUAUUUUUUUAUAAAAAUGAAUGUGCAUUGUAACAAAAUGUAGGGCGAGUAUAGGAUACCGUUGUUUAUGAAAGGUU